GAGUAUAUAACUCAGUUGGUAGAGUUUUUGACUUUUAAUCAAAUAGUCAUAGGUUCAAAUCCUAUUAUACUCU
rnacentral:tRNA from 1 species